UCGGGCUCCCAACCAAAACCCAAAACAAUGGAACUCAAGUUCUCCAUCUUCCUCUCCCUAACCCUACUCUUCUCCUCCGUCCUAAAACCCGCUCUCUCCGAUCUCUGCAACCCCGACGACAAAAAAGUCCUCCUACAAAUCAAGAAAGCCUUCGGCGACCCCUACGUCUUGACCUCAUGGAAAUCAGACACUGACUGUUGUGAUUGGUACUGCGUCACCUGUGACUCCACCACAAACCGCAUCAACUCCCUCACCAUCUUCGCCGGCCAGGUAUCCGGCCAAAUCCCAGCCCUAGUCGGAGACUUGCCAUACCUUGAAACCCUUGAAUUCCACAAGCAACCUAAUCUCACUGGCCCAAUCCAACCCGCCAUUGCCAAGCUCAAAGGACUCAAGUUUCUCAGGCUCAGCUGGACCAACCUCUCAGGCUCUGUCCCUGACUUCCUCAGCCAACUCAAGAACCUCACAUUCCUCGACCUCUCCUUCAACAACCUCACCGGCGCCAUCCCCAGCUCGCUUUCUCAGCUCCCAAACCUCAACGCUCUUCAUCUAGACCGCAAUAAGCUCACAGGUCAUAUUCCGAAAUCGCUUGGGCAGUUCAUUGGCAACGUUCCAGACCUGUAUCUCUCCCACAACCAGCUCUCUGGCAACAUUCCAACCUCAUUCGCUCAGAUGGACUUCACCAGCAUAGACUUAUCACGGAACAAGCUCGAAGGUGACGCAUCCGUGAUAUUUGGGCUGAACAAGACAACCCAGAUUGUGGACCUGUCCAGGAACUUGCUGGAAUUUAAUCUGUCAAAGGUGGAGUUUCCGACAAGCUUGACCUCGCUGGAUAUCAACCACAAUAAGAUCUACGGGAGUAUCCCAGUGGAGUUUACCCAACUGAAUUUCCAGUUCCUGAACGUGAGCUACAACAGGCUGUGUGGUCAGAUUCCAGUGGGUGGAAAGUUGCAGAGCUUCGACGAGUAUUCUUAUUUCCAUAACCGAUGCUUGUGCGGUGCUCCACUCCCAAGCUGCAAGUAAUGGCCACAACUGCAGAUUUGGCCAGCACUUUCCGAAUAGUUGCUGUUUAAACAGGUGUUUGGUCAUACAAAUAAGCGACCAGUCAUGGCAGCAGUGUAGCUCAUUUAAAAGUAAUUAAUAAGAUUUGUUCAUGCAUUUUACAACUGCAUAUAGAACACAGAUUUAUAGCGAAUAAUCCAUGUAAAAGAAAAGAUUAUAGCGAAUAAACUUGGCCAAUAAUUUACUUGUCAAAAAACAGAAACAUAAUAAACUUUGCCGAUCUUUUUUCUCUUCAAUGUUCCUAAACCAGGAUACUGUUUGGGAAGUCGGAAAUUAGAAUACGACAGGAAAUGGAUGAAUGAAAAUAAGUCAGGAAAUAAUAUUUCAUGAAAGAAACCACCCCGUUUUCGCAUUAUUUAUGCGGGUGUUUCGGAUAUCAACUAUAUCCAGUUUUUAACAAGUUUGGCGUAAAUUAGAGGCAAAGGUUACCACAUCGGAAUAAGUGUAGGGUCUUCUUCACUGGUGUUGCCAACGUCACAAUGGAGACUCCUUCCAUGGCAAUCUGUCAAGUCCGUCACCAAUAGCCCUGCGGAACUCACUGUUGUGGAGAAGGAACGAUGAGUCAUGCCCACCAGUGACCCAUCUUACUUCUGAACCCGGCCAAGCUUUUUGAAGCUCCAGCACCCAUCAUCCUGAAACAUAAUUGUGGUUAAAGGAAGAAACUUGGAAAGCUAGCUAGUCAUAAAAACCAAAAAACAAGACUUUACAUUCCAUGACGACUUAUUCAGAGUAGCAUACAAUGGUCAAGUUAUUUUCAAGAACAGGAAAUGGGUAAACGCUAAUAGUCAUAAAGGUUGGUUAAUAACAAAUGAGCAGAAAGGUAACUUCAUAAAAGUUGAAAAUCAUAGUACACAUAACAACAAAAGAAUAAAUGGAUUGCAAAAUUACGAAUAUUAGAAACACUACAAGAUUCGUCGAAAAAGCUACAAUUCAGAUAACUGCAUUGUGACUAACUUGUUUAUAAUAAAAUACAAGCACUAUUAUAUAUAGUGAAAAGUAAAUUGUAGCAAUGGUUCAUCAAUUUUAAUCAAAUUAAAACAAUGGUCUCUCAACUAAAAAUUCAUUACUAUUUGUCCCUCAACUUAUCAAAAUGUAUAGCUAUAGUCAUUUUCAUCAAUUUCGUCAAAAUUGUCAAAAUAAAUUAUGUUGGAAUAACCAUUUAUAUAAUUAAGGUCCCUUAGCUCAUUAAAGUGUGUAAUUAUGGUUCUUUUUGUCAACUACUUCAAAAUUUUUGUCAAAACGAGUUAUGUUAGAAGGAUCAUUGCUACAAUUGGGUUAAAGUUAAGAGAUCAUUUCUCUAGUUGAAUUAAAGUUGAGGGACUAAUGGUAAUGAAUUUUUAGUUGAGAAAUUAUUGCUCCAAUUGAUUUAAAAUUAAGGAACUAUAGCUACAAUUUACUCUAUAAUGAACUAAACCUAAUCCUAAUAGACAAGAAAUCCUAAAGUUAAAGAAAAACUAAUGAAAAUAGCUUAAAAACUUUGAGUUUUAACGAUAAAGACAAAAUAAAGGGUAAAGUAAAUAGUUUUUUUAGUGUAAAAAUGUAAUUUUUUAUUAAAAUAAACAGUACCGCGAACUUUUCGUUAAAAUUUCUUAAAGUUAAAGUCAAAGGGCAAGGAAUCCUAAUCAUUGUAUCGGAAAGCGUGUGACAUCCGUGAGAGACAGGACAUUGCGCAUUCGUUCUCUCACUUCCUCCAGAGUCAUUACAAACAAAACCGAACCAACCAAAUCGACUUGAGUCAGUUUUGGUAUGGUUGAAUUGAUAUAGCAAUUUUCUUUUACAAAAUCAAAUUGAAUUGAACCUAUCAUUUAUGCUUGAUUUUUAGUUUCAAACAAAAACCGAACCUAGAGACCGAAUAGGACAAACUUUUGUAUUCACAUUGAUAAAACCUGAAUCAAAUCGAUUCCUUUUUUAAUAGUCAAUUUAACAAAAAGUUCUGGUAUUAUUAAUUUUAACAAAAAAAUCAUAUUUUUACAUUAAAAAAUUAAUUUUUAUUAUUCACUUUAUCCUUUAUUUUGUCUUUAAAACUCAAAAUUUUCAAACACAUUUUACUAGUUUUCCUUUUUUAAUAUCUAUACGUGCAAUUCUCUCUACGUUAGAGAAUAUUUUCAUGUCAUUGUGCACAUAAUUUUUUUUAUAAAAUAUUAAAUUAAAGAAUUUAGCAAAAAAAAAAAAAAGCCCUCUUUUUAUUUGUGGAGGCCAGAUGACCUACAAAAAAAAUAACUAAAUAAGUAAAAGAUUUUUAGCUAAAAUGGUCAUGAAAUUGACAUAACUCCUUACUUUAGUUUCUAAGAUUUGAAAUCGAUAGAAGUAAUUCUUGAGUUUGUCCACCAUCAAUCAUUUUGAUCAUUCCGUAAAAAUUUUUGUUAAAUAAGAAUAAAAGGCCAAACAUACCUUCAAUUUAAUAAACAAUGAGUUAAAAUAAUUUGACAAAAAAUAAAGAUAUUUUUCUCAUUUUAUCUUUAUGUAAUAGAGCAGCGGCAGGGCCUCUAAUUAUCUAAAAUGUCCGUAUUUUAGUAUGACUAAUGUUGUAUUAAAAAGAAGUCACAAGGCAAUUAACAAGCAAAGCAAAUAGUAACAGUGACAGGCACAAGUUUAUUGGGUUUAAUUAAGUCUCAAUUCACCGCCAUCAGUUGCCAAUUGAGGAAGGGUGGAAGUCACUUGGUGAAGCACAAUGUGGUGGAGGUUCAUCUGCUUUUGCCAGAUCACAGCACGCAGACCACAAGGAUUCAGCAGACACCCUUCGUUUUUGACUUUUUUUUUCUUUUCAAGUUGUCAUAACAGUAUAGAAGCGUGAAAUUUUGGCAAAUGUUGGAUUAGAGCAUCUCUAACAACGCUAGCAAAAACUUAGUUAUUAUAUGAUUUCAAAUACCGUAAAAUUAUUUAUAACAAAUUACUCUUAACAAUUCUACUUCACCGACAAUCUAAUAUGAAUAAAGUUGGAUCUUUUAAGAGUGGCCAACAACUGUCCGUAAAAAAUAAAAUAACUUGCUACAUAGCUAGUCGGCUAUUUCUUUGUUUAUGAGGUUAUGUUUGGAUGAGGAAUUUGUGAAUACCAAUGAAUUUUAAUUAGUUAGAAAUGCAUUAUAAAACAAAGUAACGGAUGAAUAUGAAAAUGACUGCUUGACAUGAGUGAUAUAGAUUUGUUUGUGUAUUAUUAAUAAUCAUGUAGGGCAUUUCAAUGCCUCUAUCACAUCUUUGUCAAUUAUUUCUAAUUAUUUUGUCCUAAAUCUAGUAGUACUUGCAAAUCGCUCCUCCAAACAUAGCUUAUUUCAGUCAAAAGAAGCUGAGUAAUCUUGAGAAACUCUUAGGUCCUCAUCUCUAUCAAUCCAGCUUUGGCUGACCAUGGUUCCCAAACCAUGCUCCAUUUGUUCUCUUUAAUUUUGUUUAUUCCUACGCUUUUACUUUCCCAAACAACUCAGAUAAUCAUGAGACCUAAAGCAUAGGCCUUCAGAAAAUGAGACAAUUUUUGCUAUUAAACUAACAAAUCCACUCAAAAUUCUACGAUGCUUUGAAGUAUACUUCAGGUUUAUAACCGAUACAUCUUGAUUUUUGUAUUUUUAAUUAAAAAUCUGACCGUUCAAAGAUUAGGAAUAUCUCAAACUUUAGGAGAUGUAAAAAUUUCACAAAAGACACUACAUGUUUGAAUGAAAUAAGGAGCAAAGCAUGUUACUUUUUGAUGUCGAUUAAAUGCGCACCAGAUCUAUGACCUGUCCACACUUCCUUCAACCACAAAUUCACUAUCUCAGGCUCCCAACCAAAACCCAAAACAAUGGAGCUCAAGUUCUCCACCUUCCUCUCCCUAACCCUACUCUUCUCCUCCGUCCUAAACCCCGCUCUCUCCGAUCUCUGCAACCCCGACGACAAAAAAGUCCUCCUGCAAAUCAAGAAAGCCUUCGGCGACCCCUACGUCUUGACCUCAUGGAAAUCAGACACUGACUGUUGUGAUUGGUACUGCGUCACCUGUGACUCCACCACAAACCGCAUCAACUCCCUCACCAUCUUCGCCGGCCAGGUCUCCGGCCAAAUCCCCGCCCUAGUCGGAGACUUACCGUACCUUGAAACCCUUGAAUUCCACAAGCAACCCAAUCUCACUGGCCCAAUCCAACCCGCCAUUGCCAAGCUCAAAGGACUCAAGAGUCUCAGGCUCAGCUGGACCAACCUCUCAGGCUCUGUCCCUGACUUCCUCAGCCAACUCAAGAACCUCACAUUCCUCGACCUCUCCUUCAACAACCUCACCGGCGCCAUCCCCAGCUCGCUUUCUCAGCUCCCAAACCUCAACGCUCUUCAUCUAGACCGCAAUAAGCUCACAGGUCAUAUUCCGAUAUCGCUUGGGCAGUUCAUUGGCAACGUUCCAGACCUGUAUCUCUCCCACAACCAGCUCUCUGGCAACAUUCCAACCUCAUUCGCCCAGAUGGACUUCGGCAGCAUAGACUUAUCACGGAACAAGCUCGAAGGUGACGCAUCCGUGAUAUUUGGGCUGAACAAGACAACGCAGAUUGUGGAUCUGUCCAGGAACUUGCUGGAAUUUAAUCUGUCAAAGGUGGAGUUUCCGACAAGCUUGACCUCGCUGGAUAUCAACCACAAUAAGAUCUACGGGAGUAUCCCAGUGGAGUUUACCCAACUGAAUUUCCAGUUCCUGAACGUGAGCUACAACAGGCUGUGUGGUCAGAUUCCGGUGGGUGGAAAGUUGCAGAGCUUCGACGAGUAUUCUUAUUUCCAUAACCGAUGCUUGUGCGGUGCUCCACUCCCAAGCUGCAAGUAAUGGCCACAACUGCACAUUUGGCCAGCAAUUUUCGAAUAGUUGCUGUUUAAACGGGUGUUUGGUCAUACAAAUAAGGAAAUAAUAUUUCAUGACUCGUUUUCCCAUUAUUUAUGCUGGUGUUUCAGAUAUCAACUAUAUCCAGUUUUUUACAUGUUUGGCGUAAAUUAGAGGCGAAGGUUACCACAUCAGAAUAAGUGUAGGGUCUUCUUCACUUGUGUUGCCAAUGUCACAAUGGAGACUCCUUCCAUGGCAAUCUGUCAAGUCCGUCAACAAUCGCCCUGCGGAACUCACUGUCGUGGAGAAGGAACGAUGAGACAUGCCCACCAGUGACCCAUCUUACUUCUGAACCCGGCCAAGCUUUUUGAAGCUCCAGCAGAGUGUUUCGGGAUGUACCCAUCAUCCUGAAACUUUAAGUGUAAUUAAAGGAAAAAACUUGUAAAGCUAGCAAGUCACAAAAAUCAAGACUUUACAUUCCACAAUGACUUAUUCGGAGUAGCAUGCAAUGGUCAAGUUGUUAUUAAGAGCAGGAAAUGGGAAAACGUUGAUAGAAUCUUAAAGAUGGGUUAAUAACAAAUAAGUAGAAAGGUAACCUCAUAAAAGUUGAAAAUCAGAGUACAACGGAUUAUAAAACUACGAAUAUUAUAGAAAACGAAGAAGCACUACAAGAUUGGCCAAGAAGGCUACAACUCCGAAGACUACAUUGUGACUGACUUGUCCAUAAUAAAAUAAUAAAAUACAAGCACUCCUAUACAUGGUGAAGUAAACCUAGUCCUAAUAGGCAAGAAAUCCUAAAUGGUCAAGGAAUCCUAAUCCUUAUCCUCCAAGUAAACUAAUAAAAACAGUAAUAGACUAAUUUUCCAACAAUAAAUACUUACAGUGGCAGAAACAAAUAUCACGGCAUUGGGAUUUUUUGGAAUCGGAAAGCGUGUGACAUCCGUGAGGGACAGGACAUUGCGCAUCCGCUCUCUCACCUCCUUGAGAGUCAUUGCAGCCUUCUGCACGCAAGAUCCUCUCUCAGGGCCUCCCACGCAGUUGCAUGCUUUAAUAUUCCCUCACAGAAUGCCACAACACCAGAGUGUGGAGAGAGAAAAGGUAGGGUUGCGAUGGGUGUAGGGUGCAGUGAUCUAACCAUUGCAGCAUGUACUCCUCCUAGGUUCCACAGAAGCAUUAUAUUUUCGGCCAAAAGAAAUGUGAUUAAAUGAAGGGUGCCAGUGUUCCACUUCUAGGAAAAGUUCAUGAUUUAUUCCAAAGGUCAGAACUAAUACUUUAGUUUUGACUUUCAACCAUGUAGAAACAAAGUAAAACUAGUUCAAGUUUUAACCAAAAAAAAAGAAAAAAACUUCAAAUUUUAAACCAAAGAAAGAUGGCAACGACUUCUAAUAACUUCAAACACUUAAAGCUAUAGCAAGAGAUGGAUUUGGGUCUUUACCCAUGCUAAGUCCACAGACACCCAUCUUUCCAAACCCUGCUUCACAGUCUAGCCAAUGCAAGAGACUGCGAGCUUCUUGAAUUGUUGCCCUUCCUAAUAAAAGUAAGUCACUGACACACAAGAGUUUUGCCCCACGCUGCAUCACCGGACGUCUUUGUCCAUAGAAAGGGCUGCAUAACAUAUCCACCUCAAUCAAAAAGCUGGAAGGUACGAAUAGUAACCAUGUAGAACUCUGAUUUCAGUUACAAAAGGUGUCUGGCUGCGCAGAAUAAUUUACCUCUCAAGCACCAUAGUAGCAAUGUUUUCCUUCAGCAAAGGUCCACCAAGACGUAACGUUCAUUCAAAUGUAUGGUCCCCAGUUCCUGCAAAAUGGAAAAUCAGCAAAGAAAUUCCUCCCAGUGUUCCUUAACAAAGCCAACCAAAGAAGAACAAAUUACUUCGCACACAAUCAUAUACUUUGCAGCAAUAAUAUAGUUGAGAGAACCAAACCAAGUACAUUCGACGGCCAUGUUCCUCAAUCUUCCAAGGGAACAAGAACAGUUCCAAGUAUAGUUUCCCAAAACUAGUUAACACUUUAAACUCAAUAUUAGACUCUUUGAGAGAAGUAUACAAGUCGAAGACAAAGACCCAAUUGAAUUGUAAACAUUUUAAAAUAAAUAAACAAAACGUAUUUCUAGCAUUUGAUUUCUAAUUCUAAAAUUUCAAUGCUCAACACAAUGCAUGGUGUACCAAGUUACCGCUAUUUGCCAACCUUUGCUACUGUAAUCAAAAGGCAGAAAACAGGUUGAAAUUAUAUUUCAGAACAUUUCAUCAAUAAGCAAGGCUCAAAGUUCAUAUUGCUAGAGAUAAAUCGAAGCGGUAAAUGUAAAUCCAACCUCCCAAUAGUUUACUAAUGAUUUGCCAUACUACAUUGGUGUAAAUAACCAAAUCAAACACGAAUACAACAACAACAACAACAAAGCCUUUUCCCACUAAGUGGGGUCGGCUAUAUGAAUCCUAGAACGCCAUUGCGCUCAUUUGUGUCAUGUCCUCCGUUAGAUCUAAGUACUCAAGUCUUUUCUUAGGGUCUCUUCCAAAGUUUUCCUAGGUCUUCCUCUACUCCUUCGGCCCCGAACCUCUGUCCCGUAGUCACAUUUUCGAACCGGAGCGUCAGUAGACCUUCUUUGCACAUGUCCAAACCACCGGAACCGAUUUUCUCUCAUAUUUCCUUCAAUUUUGGCUACUCCUACUUUACCUCGGAUAUCCUAAUUCCCAAUCUUAUCCUUUCUCGUGUGCCCAUACAUCCCACGAAGCAUCCUCAUCUCCGCUACACCCAUUUUGUGUACGUUGAUGCUUCACCGCCCAACAUUCUGUGCCAUACAACAUCGCUGGCCUUAUUGCUGUCCUAUAAAAUUUUCCCUUGAGCUUUAGUGGCCUACGACGGUCACACAACACGCCGGAUGCACUCUUACACUUCAUCCAUCCAGCUUGUAUUCUAUGGUUGAGAUCUCCAUCUAAUUCUCCGUUCUCUUGCAAGAUAGAUCCUAGGUAGCGAAAACGGUCACUUUUUGUGAUCUUCGCUAGAUUGCUCCGGUCAUUAGUGUGGAUAAGUAUAUAAAUGGAUAGAGAUAGGAAAGCAAACACAAGAUGUACGUGGUUCACCCCCAGAUUGGCUACGUCCACGGAAUAGAGGAGUUCUCAUUAAUUGUGAAGGGUUUACACAAGUACAUAGGUUCAAGCUCUCCUUUAGUGAGUACAAGUGAAUGAUUUAGUACAAAUGACAUUAGGAAAUAUUGUGGGAGAAUGAUCUCGUAGCCACGAAACUUCUAAGUACCGGAGUGUGGUAUCGUCUUGACUUGCCUUUAUCUGUCUCAUAGGUAGAUGUGGCAUCUUCUCUGGAAGUACUCUUCCUCCAUCCAGGGGUGGUAUCUGUAACUGGUGGAGAUGCACAAGGUAAUGUAUCAAUUUCACUUGAAGCUUACUUGUAGUUUCAUGCUUGGUCAAGCGAGAUACAAACCAUGUAGUAGGAGUCCCCCAAGUCGCCGAGCUGGGGGAUCUGCUGAAAGAGGUGACAGACAAGGUAAGCAAUCAGAGCUCCGGCUGAUUGUUCACAUUCUCCCCUAUCUUGCAAGCAGCAUGAAGGAUAAAGAGAAGAAAAAAUGAGGAGAGAUGAUAUGGGAUACUUUUGCUUUUGAAGAAGUAACUUUCCACAGGCUUAUUCUUGAACUGGGCUGGAGGGUUUUCUGGUUUCCUCCAGAGUAUAAGGCCGACUGAAGAAUUUGAGGGUCAAAACAAGUCCAUCAAAUCUAGAGUACGUUCGACCCUGCUGAUAUGGGAUACUUUUGCUUUUGAUAGAGUAAUGGAUGUAUCGGCACGUGUGCUGUUACGCUUGUCUCCACAUGCUUCCUUGUAUCCUUCUCACUUGCCCUAUCUGUUCCUCAGGCAGAUGCGGUAUCUUCCCUGGAAGCAUAAGAUGUUGAAGAUGAGUACUCGAGAGCAAUGCCAGGUAAGUAAUCAGGUAAGGGGUUCCAGGCAGUCAGUUCCUGGCUGGAAGCUUGAUGCCAAGUGCUGACUGAUUGCUCUCUUUUCUCCUUGUCUUGCAGGUAAGAACAAGGCCAAAGGAAAAGACAGGGAAAAAAGCAUGAUAUGGGAUACUCUUGCUUUUAACCCUGAUGAUAUGAGAUAUUCUUGCUCUAGUAUAGCUUGUUUACAGAGGUAUUAUCGGGGGGAAAGAAAGCUGAAUAUUUCGAAAGGCUUUGUUGGGAGUGCCCUCUCAGAUAAGAGAAAGGGUUGAGCAUUUUUGCAGGUCUGCCUGUCCGUUAGGGAUGGAAGUCGACAUAUAUAGGAGUCUCCCUAACAUCAAGUAAUAAUGCUAUUCCUUUACCCUGCUUGGUUAUAGCACGGUAGUGGGAGCUGCCAGCUUCACAUGUUUUAACUCUGUCAGAGCACUUUGAAAAAGUGGUUUGUGGUAUCUGGAAAGCUGAUGUUGCGUGUGAAGAUUACAAACCUGUCGGGGGUCUGGCUCUCGAGAUUCGGAGAACGAUGCCUCUUCGAUUUUUGAGAAAACAAUCCUGUUGGGGGUCUGGCUCUCGAGAUUCGGAGAGCGGUGUCUCUUCGAUUUUUGAGAAAGUAAUCAUGUUGGGAGUCUGGCUCUCGAGAUUCGGAGGGCCGUGCCUCUUCGAUUUUGGAGCAAGCAAUCUUGUUGGGAGUGUUUUCUCGAAAGUGAGUAAAGGUUGGGCAUGUUUGCUAGUCUACCUUGCCACAAAGCACAGAGGUUGACACACAGGGACUUUCCAAUUAUCCAGCAGUGGUACUGUUCCUUUACCCUCUCUUCGAUUUUGAGAAAGUAAUCAUGUUGGGAGUCUGGCUCUCGAGAUUCGGAGGGCGGUGCCUCUUCGAUUUUGGAGUAAGCAAUCUUGUUGGGAGUGUUUUCUCGAAUGUGAGUAAAGGUUGGGCAUGUUUGCUAGUCUACCUUGCCACGAAGCACAAAGGUUGACAUACCGGGACUUUCCAAUUAUCCAGCAGUGGUACUGUUCCUUUACCCUCUCUUCGAUUUUUGAGAAAGUAAUCAUGUUGGGAGUCUGGCUCUCGAGAUUCGGAGGGCGGUGCCUCUUCGAUUUUGAAGCAAGCAAUCUUGUUAGGAGUGUUUUCUCGAAUGUGAGUAAAGGUUGGGCAUGUUUGCUAGUCUACCUUGCCACGAAGCACAGAGGUUGACACACCGGGACUUUCCAAUUAUCCAGCGGUGGUACUGUUCCUUUACCCUUGUGGGUAAUAAUAUGGUAGCUAGACCUUCAAAAUUUAUGUGUCUAAACUUUGUUAGUGUUGUUUCUUUGCAAUUCUUUUACCCUUCUUGGUCAGAGCGAUGUAGUGGGAGCUGCAAGCUUCACGUGUCUCAACUUUGUCAGAGAACUUUGGCAAAGUUAUCUGUGGUACCCAUGAGCUACUGUUGCGUGUGGGAAGUGGGUGAUUGAACAGUACGAUUCAUCUGCUUUCUACUUCGCCAGAAAUCUUCGACAAAAUGCCCAUAAUUUCCGCAAAGCUGAGUGUGCGUGUGACAGGUGCUGACAAGGCUGGAAAAGUAGGUGCCUCUUCGAUUUCUGAAAUCGGCCCUCGUGGUCUCUGAUCAGCCCAGCUUUUGAGAAAGCAAGGCUCUUCUAUUUCUGGGAUCGGCCUUUGUGGUCUUUGAGCAGCCCAGCUUUUGAGAAAGCAAACACCUCUUCGAUUUCUGAGAUCGACCCUCGUGGUCUCUGAGCAGCCCAGAUUUUGAGAAAGCAAACGCCUCUUCGAUUUCUGAGCAGGCGCCUCUUCGAUUUCUGAAGCUUCGUCGAGUGCAGAUUUUUAUAGGGGCUGACAUUAAGUUCCAAAGCACACUUGAAUAUCCACCAGUAGAAGCUCCAUUCUUGCACUUCUAAGAUCUUGAUUUGUCCGACCUCUUCUCUUUUUUCAACACCUUUGAAAAUGUCUGGCCCCUCCGACCGUCGUUUUUGACUUGAACCUUGUUGAAGAGGCAGCCCCGCCUUCUCCAGACAACAUAUGGCGCCCAUCCUUCGUCUCCCCUACUGGUCCUCUUACCGUUGGGGAUUCUGUGAUGAAGAAUGAUAUGACCGCUGCGGUAGUGGCCAGGAACCUUCUCACUCCCAAAGAUAACAGACUACUUUCCAAACGGUCUGAUGAGUUGUCUGUUAAGGAUUCUCUGGCUCUCAGUGUUCAGUGUGCAGGUUCUGUGUCUAAUAUGGCCCAACGCCUAUUUGCUCGAACCCGCCAAGUUGAAUCAUUGGCGGCUGAAGUGAUGAGUCUCAAACAGGAGAUUAGAGGGCUCAAGCAUGAGAAUAAACAGUUGCACCGGCUCGCACAUGACUAUGCUACAAACAUGAAGAGGAAAGCUUGACCAGAUGAAGGAAUCUGAUGGUCAGGUUUUACUUGAUCAUCAGAGAUUUGUGGGUUUGUUCCAAAGGCAUUUAUUGCCUUCGUCUUCUGGGGCUGUACCGCGUAAUGAAGCUCCAAAUGAUCAAUCUCUGAUGCCUCCUCCUUCUAGGGUUUUGUCCAGGACUGAGGCUCCGAAUGAUCCCCCUCCGGUGCCUUCUCUUUCUGGGGCUCUACCGACUGCUGAGACUUCUCCUAAGCAACCUUUGUGAAGGCUCCCUCUUGUUUGUUUAUUUUGACUCAAGUAUAUGUACAUAUUUGUAACUUAUCGGGGAUAUCAAUAAAUAAGCUUUCCUUCAUUUCAACGUAUUGUGUUAAAUACACCAAAGCCUUCUUCGCUAAGUUCUUUGAAUUUUUCUUUUGUUGAAGCUUGUAUGUUGAAGCUUUGUGAGUGGAGCAUAUAGGUUGAGGUAGUGUUCCCUUAAUUUCCCGAAUGAGGAAAAACUUCUCGGUUGGAGACUUGGAAAAUCCAAGUCACUGAGUGGGAUCGGCUAUAUGAAUCUUAGAACGCCAUUGUGUUCUGUCCUGUGUCAUGUCCUCCGUUAGAUCCAAGUACUCUAAGUCUUUUCUUAGGGUCUCUUCCAAAGUUUUCCUAGGUCUUCCUCUGCCCCUUCGGCCCUGAACCUCUGUCCCAUAGUCGCAUCUUCUAAUCGGAGCGUCAGUAGGCCUUCUUUGCACAUGUCCAAACCACCGUAACUGAUUUUCUCUCAUCUUUCCUUCAAUUUCGGCUACUCCUACUUUACCCCGGAUAUCCUCAUUCCUAAUUUAUCACACGGUGAAUAAAUAUGAACCGUAAUUAUACCUGCAAGAUGAACGACACAGGCCAUCCUCUGAGGAGGAACCGAUUUUGGAACAAGAAACGCAACUCUUGCACUGUGACUCUCAGGAGGCAAUGCACUGAGAAGCUGCUCAUCACAAGGCGUCCGGAAAACCCCUUCUCUGAGAGAAGCCGUCUUGCUCUCCCAAACAGUUUUCCAAGUUGGUUGGAUCACAGCAGGAGGCCAAUUCUGGCCAGCUGCUUCUGGAAAAAGCUGAUUUAUCAUCCUCUCAAGCAGCUCAAGCUUUGUGCCGCCCCACCCUCUCGAAAAAAAUUGAGGGCUAAUCUUUGUUCUGUGCAUGAACGCACCGUACUGGUCCAGAACAUAAUGAAGCAUUCCCAGAUUCACAGUCACCAUUUUUGAGAGAAAAGCAGAAAUUCAAACACCAAAAUUUUCACAAAAGUUCGGUUUUUUUAUCAAUUUGAACAAAACCCAGAUGAAAUUAUAUGCACACUUUCAGAAACAAAGAAGAAUCCAGAAUGUUGGGGAAUAAGUAUUUGUGGAUUUCAUCAUCUGAAAAACAUGAUUUGGGGAUGAACAGAUUAGGGAUUACUUAACAAUUGAAAUAAAUACUCAAGAACUAUGGCGACUGUGAAUCGAGAGGCACGGAUGGUGAAAAAUCAAUGGGAAACUGGAAGGAAUUGGUGAGACCAAAGGAGAUGGGAGAAGAAGGGGUGGUGAGAGAGUGGAGGGGAUCCAAAAUCCGAAAGCGAAAGGGGAGAGGGGGAAGCAAGAGAGGGAGGCCUAUCAAACCAAAACCAAAAACAAAAACAAAAAAUGUGGGCUGAGAGUAAACAUGGGAUUGAGACGGUGGGUUGGGGGCAGUGCUUUUUGUGAUGGCAAGAGCUUCAAGGAGAAGGAUUUACUGUUUUACAUGCAACGCCAACGGCUUCAUCACAUUAUUGUGUUAAAAUUUACAAAACAAAAUUAGACAAAAUUAAGCUGGGAGUGUUUUUUGUCAUGGGAAUAUUCCUUGGUUCGGCAUUAGUUUUUUUUUUUUUUCUUACUUUGCACAAACGUGCUUCAAAAUGAGUUAGCAAUAAUAUUGUUCAAAUUCGUCUCGAACUUAAGAUCUCUUAAGUAAAUGAUGAUCAAUAAAUUUCAGUUACCAAAAAAUUAGGGAAAUUCACUUGCAAUUUUUUUUUCAAUUUAAUUUCAAGUUUUCUCAUUUAAAGGUUACAACCACUUAGUUAUACAGUAUAUUAGAAUAUCAGCUUGUAAAUAAAAAAAUUUACGCUCGAAAAACUAGUCAUUUUUCUCGUGAGCUUACUAAUUGAUAAGAUAGUUUCAGGUUAAAAAUAAUCAUUUGUCAAAUAAACUAAAAUAAGACGAACUCCAUAAACACAUGUCGAGUUCAAAAUACAGUCAGUGGAGGGAAAACCCAACGAGCAAAUUCUUAUGGGUGAAGCACCAAGAUAAUUUAUAGAUAAGAAAUUAAAGCAGUUUCCAUCCAAAUCCAAGCACGCGUUUAUUUUCUUCUUUCGUAAAAGUUUAAUUGCGUUUGGCAGUGGAAAACCCCCAAAAUUUGUUAAUGAAUUCGACCUCCUCUCGCUGUCAACUUGUCAUGAUCAAGUAUGAGGUUGUCAAUUUCUUGUUGGGGUUUACAUAAUCUUAAAUUUGGCCCACAGACUACCACAAAUCUUAAAUUCCACUUUUAUAAGGCUAAUGGAAUGUGAAAUAACACUUUUUUACUUUCAUAAUCUUUUUUUGUAAUCCACCGAUUAUUCUUGCACCUGGAAUAUGGUUUCUAUCUGUUGAUAUGUUUUGUUCAACUGUUAUUGACAUUUUCAUAAAUUUAUGUAUUCGGGUGUGGUUACCACUUGACUUUAAGCGCAUCAAGAUAUUAAUGUGUAGAUAAAGAUAUAAAAUCUGAUCUUUCAAACUUGUUUUAAAUGCAAAAAUACACAACGAUUUGUAGAUAUUCGUGUAGUUUUUGUAUUUUUUCAUAUCUAUACUCAUCUUGCAUUUGAUUAUGCUAUAUAUGUUAGUGAGUCUGCUACUAUAAAGACCGCAACUGCAUAUCUGAGAGAAACUUUUUAAUAGGGUGUUUGAACACGUUAUAUGUAAGACGCAUCUCCAUAAAACAUAGAUGCUUAUAUUUUUGUCUCAUCUGAUUUUACGACAGUUCAAUGUAAGAGUUGUCCUAGUAGCCACUACGGCUGCGGUACAUAAGAUUUUCUCCAUGUGUAAACAAAGGAUACAAUGUGUGCCUUUUACAGUUAGAAGAGGUAACUGUGGAAAAAUUCUUCUUUUCAGAAGGAGAUCGGAAGGCAACAUGUAUGAGGUGAAUCCAUUGACUUGAUGAUAGAGCAGAUGAAUGCAACUGAGAAGUCAAAUUCUCAGAAGGGAAGGAAAGGUGCAAAAGGAAGAACCACAGUAUUUGAUAAAGUAUUUAAUAAUACAUUUGAAUUCUUUCAGUGACAGCUUGUAAAACACACAAGGUUCUCUAUGAAUGAUCAUUCAGGAAGAUGGAACGGGAUUGAACCUAGCCACUGGAACACAAACCAAAGGAUGAGCCCUCGGAAGUGUUAAUCCAGCUGCCUCUUCCAUGUCAACAGUUCCUUCAACUUUCCACUCAAAGCACUGAACCAUAGCUGCAAGUGUUGUCUGCACAACCUGCAUUGCAAGCGAGGUUCCGGGACAUCCUCUUCGUCCACUCCCAAAUGGCAACAGAUGAAAAUGCUGCCCCCUCACAUCUAACUGGCUCUUCCCACUUCCCUCUUCGGUCACAAACCUCUCCGGCUCAAACUCCAAUGGCUUCUCCCAGUGGUUAGGGUCUCUGUUGAUAGCCCACACAUUCACAAAUAAUCUUGUUUUCGCGGGAAUGUCAUAGCCGCCGAUGGUGCAAAAUUCGGAGGACUCUCUCACGAUUAAUGGGCCGGUUGGGUGAAGCCUUAGGGUUUCUUUCACUAUGGCUUGUAGGUAGGGAAGGUUGGCAAUGUCUGAUUCUUGUACGAGCCUGUUUGUUCCAAUUAUGGUGUCAAUUUCUUGUCUUGCUUUCUGCAUCACAUCUGGAUGGUUGAUUAGUUCUGCUAGUGCCCAUUCUGUCGUGAUUGCAGAUGUGUCGGUUCCAGCAGAAAAUAUAUCCUGCGAAUAUGUAACAAAUAUAUAUCAACAAUCGCUUCAUUAAUUUACAUAUGCACAUAGCAUUUAGAAACUCAUAGUGAUUUUGGCUUAUAACAUCCAACCAUACGGAAAAGAAUAUGUGCACAUGAGUCCUUCUACCAUACGACAAGGUAAAGUAUAUACAUUGCCAUUUAAGUGGCUCGAUCCACUCAUUAAAUUCCGUCCCUUAGAUUCGUGAACGUACAUUCAACCGUUAAAUUCAGCAAAUGUAUACUCAAUAUGGAUGAAUGUAAAAAAAUUUCGAUUGCAUGACCUCAUGUUUAGAUCAUUAUAGUUGUCAUUUAACAAAUACAUAUUAGUUAUUAAUGAAAUCCUUCACAAUUAGAGGCAUUAUAGCUAUCAGUGAAUGAGCAAUAAAUUACUAAUAGGCAGUGUAAGAUUUGAGUCAAAUUAAUUCAGAACUAUUUACCAGGAUGAAUGCCUUUAUGUUUUCUCUUGUCAAUCUAAACUCCGAGGUUUCAUCUUCAGCUAUGUCGAGUAAAAUGUCAAGUAAAUCCUUAACUGCAUCACCGCCACCUUCGCCAACUUCCUUCUUCUUCCUUUCCUCUUGGUGCUCCUUGAUAAUCCUCUCCAUCAUAACGUCAAACCUGUCACGCACUUCCUUAAGCUGUUUCCCAAACCCUUGCAAAUCCAAAUUCUUACAAAACCAUAUGAAGUCCGACAAAUUAAACUUCCCCGUCAACUCAGCAAUAGCUUUCACCUGCUUUCUGAUCUCAUCAGCCUCUUUUUCGUUCGAAGAGCAACUCUGCCCCAUAAUCAUUCUCGAUAUGACGUUAUUUGUCACCGUCAUAAGCUCUGCGCCAACAUCAACUGGCUCGGCUGCCUUGGCCUUGUUCAGAAGCAGUUGCACGAAACUCGCCAACUCUUCACGACGGACUGGAAGGAGCUGAUCGAGUGUCCUUCCACCAAGAAGCUCGGACAUGCAUAGUUUCUUCAUGAACUUCCAAUAAGGACCAUAAGGAGCAAAUGAAAAAUCAGCUGAUCCGUAAGUGAGGUAAUCAACAGCAGAAAUAUAGGGCCUGUUGGAGAAAGAACCCUCAUGAGUUUUGAGGAACUCUUUCGCCAUCUCUGGCGUGGAAGCAACUACGCAGGGGACGGAACCAAGAAAGAGGUGAAUCAGAGACCCAUAUCGGUUGGAUAGCUUGUGAAGAGCUUGGUGAGGUAUUGGAGCAAGGAGGUGGAGGUGUCCGAGGAUCGGCAAGGCCAUCGGACUUGGUGGAAGGCGAGGCUUGGUCCGAAAUUUGGUGAGCAUGAUUCGGACCAAAACUGUGGAGACUAGCCACACGAGGAAAAGUAUGAUGUAUCCUUGGAAAUCUACUUCCAUGGUUGAUUGAUCUUUGUAUUAUUCUCGUCAAAAAGAUGUUGUUCCGAUGGUUUCUUAUUUAAGGACCUCAAACCCUAAUUCAUUUUCCUAGGAAUUUUAUAGUCCUCAGACAAGGAAUUCAAUAUCCCUUCAUUUGAGAGUUUGUCUAUUCUGCUGAGACAUGUUAAAAAACUAAUAUCUAUUUGUUUUACAUUUUUAUUUGGCUGAGUAUUUGUUUAUAUUUGAAGUGGUUGGUUUCUUGUUUAACUUUAAAGCGACUCCUAUUUCUUAUGCACACAGAGAUUGUUGAAGACUGAUUCCUUUUUACAUUCACUCAUUGUUCCACAGGUACUUCUUGGUUACAUGUGUUGGGUUAUAUAAUGGUACAGUUUCGAUUUGUGGUUAUAGUUAUGAUUCAGCAUUGUGGUCUAAUUAAUUGUUUUGGGGUGCAUGAGCUUGGAUACGUGUUAUACUAAAUUUUGUAUCUGUGUAUUUUUAGUUAUUUCUGUGCGAAUUUUGUCAGCUUUAGUAUAAUGCCUUCGAGUUGUUUUAGAAUUCCAAUUGAGAUUCAUGUCUUAAUACACGUCUUUAUUGUAUCGUUAAUAGUUAAAUUUAUCUAAUGAAUAUCUUUGUACUAAAAAACAGCACUGAAAUCAUUAGAAAGCCUGAUGUAGUGUUUUUAGGGUGGAGGGUAGAGACUGGGUCAGCAUGCAGCCGUCUUUGGUGCAAAACUUGAGUUUAAAAAACCACAAGUGUGUAUUACUCUAUGUAUAAAUGACCGGCAUCUUAUUCUCAAGGCUAUAUUCUUUGUCCUAACUUGUUUGUUUCACAUUUUCAAUUGGUUAGAGCCGGCGACAUCCUUACAUUAUCUUCCAAGUUUUGAAUGCAAGCAUUUGGUCGUUCUUGCUAGUUGCUAUCUGCAGCUGAUUGGGUCAAAGAACUGCACUAGUUGAUUUGGUCAUUCUUGCUAUGCUAGCUAGUUGCCAUCUGCAGCUUAGAGAUAAUCAUCAGUAGGACUACGACACAAAAACAUGUGAUAGCUACUCUAAGUCUCUAACAACAGCCACGAUUGCUCCAUAGCUAUUGGCAAUUUUUCUUGUAGUAGUGUAAGACAACAUAGAAAUUUGCGUUUUACAUUAUUUAUUCGUAUGAAAUUUUUGUUAAUUUUUCAUCUCAUUUUCUAAUUUUAUGUUGCACGGGCAUCAUGGUUCCAGAUUCGAAUUUCAAAAUAGGAAAAUAAUAAUAAUAAUUCCCUUUUUCUUCUUUUCAUACAAGCAAUAUUCUAUAUUAACGUAAACUAAGGAGAAGAAAGAGUUUGAACUCAAAAUAUAAUUGGUUAAAAGAGGGGUUGCAAGACGAGGAAUUCAAAAGAAAUAUAAAAAAAGAAAUAUUCUAUUUAUACUAAAGAGAAGCAUUUUAAUAUACACCCAGCCAAAAUGCAACUUAUUUUAAUCCAAUAUAAAGAAAAUCAAAUACUCUAUGAGAAUUGAGCUAAAAUCAACUUUUGUAUAAUUUGUAAUUGUGCCUAACACUCAUUAGUGGUCUUGUGAAAGGGAAAAGAAAAAGUACGCGUGGGCGAGUGUCCUUGGUUUCAAAAUUACAUAAUUAGUAAAUAAAGACCAACAAUUUUCUAAUAAGUAGUACUCUUUUCCCUUUAUAGGUGAAGUUGAACACAGUAUAAACUAAAAGAAUAUUGACGAACUCAAAAGUUAAUUUCUUUUCGAAAUUCAUUGCGAAGAAUAACUAUAUUAUUUUCCACAAUUAGCAGGGUAUAUUGACCACCUGAUUCAACUUUAUAUGGGAAAUUAUUAGGUAAAAUAUGUCCUUCAGUGGAUGUGGAUAAUGCUAGUAUUGUAUGCCAACAGAAAGGGCAAUCAACACCAUGUUAUGAAUACAGACCCAGCACUAUAAUUCUUGUCAUCCUUCAUAGAAAUCACAAACACAUCUUUAGUUUUUCUUUUAUCUCUAGGAUUUUUCCUGCAAUAGUGCUAUCUUGCAAAUUCUCUUUUCUCCACUUUUUCCCAUUAAUUUUAGACUACACGGGAAUAAAAGUGAGUUAGAAAAUAAUUGAACAAACCCCUCCAUUCUUAGGUUUUCUAGUCCAAGAACAAGUAUUUGUCCAAAAUCCAUUGAUAUAUUAUCGAAUAAUAAUUUACCAUACAAAAUCAUUAUGUGUACUUAAUCUCUGCAAUGUGUAUUUUCUUUCUUUUUGAACAAAAGAUAUUAUCUACAUUAGGGAGGAUGGGCUUAGUCUCACAAUGGGCUAGCAAUAAUGUGGUUCAAGUUCGCCUUUAGCAAGAAUUGAACCUAAGACCUUUCACUUACAAGUGAGGAAUAUCACUAGACUGUAGUACUAAGUGACAAUGUUUCUGUUAAUGAGGUGUGCCUUUUUUUUUUUCUAUUUAAACUCAUAUUUCAUUCGCCACUUAGUACUGAAGUCUAGUGGUACUCUUUACUCGUAAGUGAGAAGUCUUAGGUUUGAUUCUCGCCAAAUGCAAAUUUGAACUAUAUUAUUGUUAGGCUAAACUCACCCCCCCCCUCCUUUAGUGUUGAUAAUAUCAUUUGUUUGAAGAAAAAAAACAAAAAAAACAAAAAAAGAAAACUCAUAUUUCAUUUGUAGAUCUACACCCAGAGUACUCUCUUGAACAUUGAAUAUUAAUCGUUAUGUUGGGAAUGCAAACACACCCAUUUGAUGACCCGUACAUCAUUUUUAUUCAAUCAUCCAACUAGGGUUUUGGCAUUGGGGCUUUCCCUGUGCAGGGCACCAAUUGCAUCAAAUGGAGACUCAUUCCAUCGAAGGAGAAGUAUGAGGAGAUUCACAUUCUGGGAGAACCCUUUUACUGCGAAUUGGCACACAAAUGACAGAAAUAUGUUUUUGUGAUUUUGUUUAGCUCAGCUUGAAUAUCUUCACAAUCAUAGCUAGUUGUUCAGUUGAUAGUUAAUUGAUUUUGAUUUUUCUUGUUUGUGUUUCAACAUCCUGAGUAUCUGGAUGAGGGUGUUUUAGCCAUGAUAAAAUGCACUCUUUUACCUAGCUUACUGUAUUUGGGUUUUAUUGUGUAUAUGAUCUCCUACUUUAAUUGUCAUUAGUUUUCUGAUCCUUCAAUGUUUUAUGUGUCACAUGCAGAAGUUGACCAAUAAAUCAUUUGAAUGGAGAAGUUGUUAUGCUCCCAACUGAUAGCACGAUUGGCGUCCAUGUUUCGGCAAAUCUAAAUCCUGUUUCAUUUGAAUAUUGGUACGGCGUCGGAUUUGAUAAUGUGACUAUUAUGUACAAGAUUGUUCGUAUUUUUGGAUAUAAGAUUGUUCCUUUUGAUGGAUUACCCGAGUACAAGUAUUUGGUUUCUCAUCUUCAUGUGUUGGGAACAAGCUCAUGGAAGGAGAGAGAAUCAGUUCCUCCUUGUAAACCCAUAAGAAGGUAUCUGCAUAUGGAGACAUGCAUUGGUUAACUAUUUACUCAACAAGAGUUCGAGAAAAUAUUAUCUUCCAUAUAAGCAUAUGGACUUUGAGCUUCAAGAAAGAGAAGUUUUGUGGAACAUUCCCAUAUCAAGUGCUUGUUCCCACAAAACUUCUUAUUCUUGAAGUCGAAAUUCAAUAUGCUUACAUGGAAGAUAAAAUUUUUUCUCGAACUCUUCUAGACCGAAUACCUAACCAAUAUGUGUCUCAAUAUACAAAUACAUUCAUAUCGGUUACUUUACAAGAAGGAACUGAUUUGAUCUCCUUCCAAGAGCUUGUUCCCAACUAAUGAAGAUGAGAAACAAAUACUCGUAUUCGGGUUAUCCAUCAAAAUUAACAAUCUUAUAUCCAAAAACAUGAACAAUCAUGUACAUAUCGGUCAUCACAUUAUCAAAUUCCAUUCCGUAACAAUAUUCAAAUGAAACAGAAUAUUGAUUUUUUGAAACAUGCACGCUAAUUGUGCUACCAAUUGAUAACAUAACAACUACUCCCCUCAAAGGAUCCAUUGACCAACUAAUGCAUGUGACACAUAAAACAUAGAAACAUAAGGAAAUCAAUGGCAAUUAAUGUAGAAGAUCAUAUUCACAAUAAUACCAAAUCCAGUUAACUAGGUAAAAGAGAAAAAUAAAAAAGGGAAUUUUAUUGAAAUUCAUUAUCUGUAUCUCUGCAACUAACUCAAAACUUAAAUAUGAAUUGUCUUUUCUAUGCUAGUGUACCGUUAAGAACAAGAUAUAAUAAAACUAAGACCAAAAUUUAUCAAUCCACCCUACCUAGUAAUCAAACCCUCCCCUCACGCGACCUCUUCUUUACGUUGUAUCAUGGCUAAAAUCCCUUCAUCCAGAUAUUAAGGAUGUUGAAGCACAUACCACAAAAAUUAAAACUAGCAUACCUAAUUACUAUCAACUAAAGAACUAGCUAGAUUGUGUAGGAAACUGAAGAAUGAAGGCUUUUUCCUCCAUUAUUUUCUAACUCACUGUAGUCCCCUAUAGUAUAAAAUCCAUGUAAAAAAAAAAAUAGUGAAUUGAAAUUUUAGAAAAUGAGAGAAUUUGAAAGAUGACACCAUUGCAGGAGCAGGAGAAUAACAAGAAAAUCAUGGAGGACAAGAAAUAAUAAAGAAUGCGGCUAUGGCGUCUAUGAAGGAUGACAAGAAUUGGGUCCGUAUUUAUAACAUGGUGUUGAGUGCCCUUUGUGUUGGCAUACGGUACUAGCAUUGUCCAUAUCCACUGAAUGGAAUAUUUUACCUAACAAUUUCCAUAGAGUUGAAUUAGGUGGUGAAUACGCCAUACUCAAUUUGGAAAAUUAUUUCGUUAUUUCUAACAAUGAAUUUCGAAAGGAGAUAUAUUAACUUAUGGGUGCGUCAAUAUUCUUUUAAUUUAUAUCGUAUUCAACUUCACUUAUAAAGGAAAAAUGAGAGUGCUAAUAAUUCAAAAAAAAAACCGUUGGUCGUUUUAUUCAAUAUCGGUCAAUAACGACUAACGGUUUUUGAAAGUACAUAACUUGCGUCACUCUCUGGGUGUACAACCUUUCUUGAAAAAAUUGAUACGCCUAAAGGCGUUUUACAUAAAAGAAAAUCAUUCCUAUGGAAAUGACAUAAUAUUACCAAUUACAAUAUAUACUAUUGUCGACAUCUCGUAGUGGCAGACCUUGUGAUGUUUUACUUUUUUUAUUUUUUUGUUGAGCAUUUAGCCCUGUUAUUAACCAAAGAAAAUAAAAAGGGAGGUGUAAUGACCCGUCCCCAAUUAUUAUGAUUUUUAUAAUGUUAAAAAGUGAAUUUACGAAAAUGCCCUUCAAGGCAAACGCUUUGACUUUUGUUGACUGCCGUGUCAUUUCAUGUAAGACUCAUUUUCUUGGUAUUUCCUUGUAGUACUCGUCGCUACGGACGCGUAGGCAUAAACGGAGCGCAAUUUGGAGUUAUAACGAAUGAGAUAUUAACGUUUAAAGGCGGGGGCAUUUUAGUAAAUUAAUUAGUUUCAGGAAAACACCAAUUUUUUUGAGACAAAUCUGGAAUGCCACGUGUGUGGCCUAGUUUUAAAAAAAAGAUGGUGAUUGGCGGUGGAGAUAGAGUAUAAAGGAGGGAAAGGAAGGAGGAACCGGCGAAUGAGAAAGAAAAGGAAGAGAGGGUGACCGAUCAGAAACAGAAGAAAUGAGGGGAAAGGAAAGGGGCAAGAAUAAGGGGAACCGUGACACACCCCAACCCGGAAUGUCCACUAGGACUCCGAAUCGAGCUAUGCUGGCUGACACCUGGAAGGUGACGAAGCCAUAAAGUGUGAUGAUGUGGGAAAAUAUGAAUAAAUUUAAACCUAAGAGUGCCUAAAUACCAGAGUGUGCUGGUGAGCGAGAAGGAACCCACUUCACACGUGACGUUAGAGCAUAAGUAAGUACAGUAGAGGAUUAAGAAUCGUACCCUCGAAAGAAUCUCCAAUACUACGAAUCACCACAAAUCUUCGACGAUAAGAAAGCUCAGCUAAUAAAACCUGGAGGGUGAAAACAAAACAAGGGUAAGUGGACCUAGAGAUAAAAUUUUAAUAGAAACCAUAUAAACCAUUAUAACCCCUUUGCUACAACAUUUGUAUAAUUUCCAGAAAAAUCAUAAAUAUGCCACAACACAGCAUCUCGUCAGUAAUAUCAAUUAAUCAUGUGAUUAAUAACUCAUACUAGUACGCAAGUCGAAGUCACCUAUGGUGACCUAUACAACUUACCCAUAUGUCAUCACAUAUUUCAUCACAUAUGCUAGCUUAUAACAUUUUCAUCACACAUGCUAACUCAUCACAUAUUUCAUCAUAUAUGCUAGCUUAUCACAUAUUCAUCACAUAUGCCAGCUCAUAACAUUUUCAUCACCUAUGCUAGCUCAUCUCAUUUUUCAUCACAUAUGCUAGCUUAUCACAUAUUCAUCAUAUAUGCUAGCUCAUAACAUUUUCAUCACAUAUGCUAGCUCAUCACAUAUUUCAUCACAUAUGCUAGCUCAUCACAUAUUUCAUCACAUAUGUUAGCUUAUCACAUUUUCAUCACAUAUGCUAGCUCAUCAUAUAUUUCAUCACAUAUGCUAGCUCAUCAUAUAUUUCAUCACAUAUGCUAGCUCAUCAUAUAUUUUAUCACAUAUGCUAGCUUAUCACAUAUUCAUCACAUAUGCCAGCUCAUAACAUUUUCAUCACCCAUGCUAGCUUAUCUCAUUUUUCAUCACAUAUGCUAGCUCAUAACAUUUUCAUCACAUAUGCUAGCUCAUCAGUCGGAGUCACCUAUAGUGACCUGUACGACUUAUACAUAGUUCAAUAAGUAUACCUGCACACGAGUCGGAACCACCUAAAGUGAUAUGUACAACAGGACUGGGUGUAAAUAAAUACGCUCAAGUGCUACGAUCACGUGAAGAUUAUGCGAAUAAUCGUAGGUCACCUACAAGUCGGAACCACCUAUAGUGGUAUGUACAACAGAAUUGUGCACCUACCUUGGAGCCAAGGUGAGCGUAAGGUGCGAGAGGUGAACAUCACGUGAAGGAAUGUGCCCUGGCUACGGGCGGGAGCAUUAACACCGGGGUGCUGGUUUAUGAGCUGUCAAUGUAUCUCAACAUAACAUGUACGACUCAUGGGCAACCCGUACGAUAGUGUCGGAGUUGCUUAAAACAUGCAUGUAGUCAUGUUAUAACUUCAUCAUUUCAACUAAUACCAUAAACUUACCUUAACUUACCUGGGUAUCAUGCGUUCACCUUGCACUUCAAAGCGUUCAUAAUAAUUGUGCUCAAUAAUAUACUUAUGGACAUGCCUUGAUGCAAUUCAAAACUUAACCAUAUCAUAGUGUUGCCAAAUAUAUAUAUAUAUAUAUAUCUUCUUCUUUUUUUGAACAAUGACCCUCACCUUGCACAAUUUCCCAAACAAGGCUAUUGUCUCAAUUAUUUGAUCUCAUUUAUGUUAUGGUUGCAUUUAACGUUUCGUUAGACUACCUACGUACCCUAAAUAGGGAUCCAGCCAUUCGUAGUUCGCAAUAAUUAUUUCAAAAUAUUCACAGUAAUCGUAAGCAAUAAUCAAUUUAUAAAAUGUGAACACGAAAUUUUCCUGAAACGAACGAGACAAGAACACAUGCACAAAAUAAUAUUUUGUAUUUGAUGAUUUUGGGUUACAAUCUCUCUCAAAUUUGAUCAUCUGAUUCGAUCUCCGUAAGGUGUUGAUUUAUGGAUGUGCGAUUGAUCCAAAGGGCCGUUGGGCUUGAUCUAAGGAUGAAUGUUCUUCAAGGGGCGUGGGCUUGAUCUUGAAGGUGGAUUUGAGCGGAUCUUCAAGGAGCCGUUGGGGCUUGAUCUUGAGGAUGAGCGUUUCUUCAAGGGUCGUUGAGGCUUGAUCUUAAAUAACGGUGAUGAACGGAUCUUCAAGGGCUUUUGGGCUUUAAUCUUGAAGGACGGUUGGAUGUGUGGAUUUGUCGACGUUGUUGAUCCAAAGGGGCCGUUGGGGCUUGAUCUUAGGAUGAACGGAUGAUGAACGAUGAACACUUUCUUCAAGGGCCGUCGGGGCUUGAUCUUGAAUUGGUGGAAGUUCUUCAAUGGGCCUUUGGGGCUUGAUCUUGAAUUGGUGGAUGAUUGUUGAUCCAAGGGUCGUCAGGGCUUGAUCUUGGAAGAACGAUGAAUGAAGAACGAAGAGGGCUUUCUUGAUUCUUCUGGAACCUGGAUGCUUGAGAGCUUCGGAGUUUCAGAGCUUCAGAGCUUCAAGGUUUUGGUGUCAUAUGAAUUGGUUUUGAAUUGGUUCUGAAUUCCUCCAAAAUGAAUGAAAUGGCUUCUAUUUAUAGAAUUUUCCAAGGCCUAAUUUUGAAUAUAUUAUUCAGAUGAAAUAAAUCGUUUUUACCAUGUGUUGACACGUGUCCUGUUUGAUGACUUUUCUGAUGAUUCUCGAUUUUUUGUUUAGACACACGCUACGUGUAAAAUUUAUGUAAUACAUGAGCGUUGAAACUUUGAUUUAUCGGUCAACAUUUAUUACCGAAAUUUCGAUGUCUACAUAAACGUUUAUGGACUUAUCAAUCAUAUAUAUAUAUAAUGUAUAUACGAUAGAAAGGAAAAGACUCACUCACCUGGAGUUUACACUACAACUCCCUAGCACACACAUUGAGGCAUCACGAAUGAUCGGUGCCUAGAACAAUUAUCAAAUCACAUCUCAGAAUUCUUAUCGAUAGAAUACAUAAUUUACAUAAAACACAUCCUUAAGAUUUGAUCCGGAAGAUCCACACCAUGGAUUCCCGAUCCGUUACUUCCAAAGAUCCACAUUAUGCUUCUAGAACAACAUUCUAAAAUUUCAUUACGAUCCAACGGUCGGAUCUCGGUCAAUUGCCAAAAAUCAAGUGGCGGUCAACCUUUUAUUUUAUGAAUUUACAAAUCUAAUUCAGGAAGAUCCGUAUAUCGGAUUCCCGAUCCGUAAGUUUCUAUGGUCCUCAAAUAUUAUGCACAAUAACAUAUUAAAGUUUGGUGACGAUCCAACAGUCAGAUUAUCGAUUCAUGUCUUUACCAAGUAACGUAUCCUAAUGAGUUUAGGUCUAAACGAUCAACCUACGAUAUAAAAUUUCCAAAACUAAACUCAAGACAUCUAAUUUAGCCUAAGGAUAACAUCGAUGGUCCCCUGGCCACGCGCCGCCGCGGGUGGCGGUCGGCCACCCCGACUCGUUCGAAAAUCCAACUAUUUCAAAAAAUUAUCAAAAUUUACAGGAAUGAAGAUCUCAAUGAGUAGAGUAAACUUUAUACCUGUGAACAAGGCCAAUUUGGCCAGGAAAAGCCCCAGUUUCUCUCAAACCCGAUGGAACCCUAGAAAUGGGUGUUCCUUGAUUCGUCCUCAAAUCGAUUCCAACGCCCCAACCAAUGAGUGGGCAUUGUUCUUGAGCUCAGAGGAGGUACUUUGAUGGUGAGGAUUGGUGGAAAUCAUUUCACAAAUGGCGGAUUCCACCACUAUGCACCCAUGAACCCAUCGGUGCUAUUACAUGAAUUCGAGGUCAAUUCAUGUAAAUUUUUGAAUGAAAAUGGAAAAGAAGAUGAUGCUAAGUUAGUUCCAGGUAGUGGAUGGUUGCAAUUCGCCAGAAAAUCGCCUGAAAAGGCGUCGGAAAUCAUGGAGAAGUCGGGUCCAUGUUGCGGGUCAAAGGGGAAUCUAGGUUUUCCCCUCAUUCUCUAUUCUCUCCGAUCCCUCCUUUCUGCCUCUCCGAUUGGCCAUCCUCGCCUUCUCUCCUCUCCCAAUUCGCUGCACCCUCCCCUUUUUUCUUUCCACCUGAAGCUUUCUUCCCCUCUCUCCCAUUGCCAUCAGGCAAUUUCCCUUCUUUUUUUUUUCUUUUUUUUUCUUUUUUCCCACUUUAAAACAACUAAAAGAAUUUAAUAUAAAGAUUAUUAAAAUAUAUAUAUAUAUAUAUAAAUAGUAACCAAUACAAAAGUACUUCUCGGGUUUACAGUUCCAUAAAAUUUUAACCAUGACUCCGAAUCCUCUUCUGCUUGCGCCUACGAGCUCAUAUUGUCGAGUACUUCAUAAAUACGCUAAAGGAAUAUUUCAUACAUCUCACUAGAUGUUGAUCAACAAAAGUCAAUACCCUCGCCUCUAAGGGCAUUUUCAUAAAAUCACGCUUUUCAAAUUUAUAAAAUUGUAAAAUUAGGGACAGGUUAUCACAAACCGGGACCCCCCUUCCUUGACCCGACAACCCAGUUCUCCAACAUGGUUCCUUCAUAAUUUUCGACUCUGAUUCCGGCAUGCUUCAACUUCUACCACCACCACCAAA
rnacentral:lncRNA from 1 species